GGCUUCUUGUUGACGGAAACCGCCUUGAUCGCAGUGGUUUGAACCGGGCAAAAGUCGUAACAAGGUUUCCGUAGUGAACUGCGGAAGGAUCAUCACUGAGUUUGCGAGCUUGUCUUGC
rnacentral:rRNA from 1 species